rnacentral:rRNA from 1 species
ACCUGGUCUUGACAUCCCGAGAAGUUUCCUGGAAACAGGAAAGUGCUCGCAAGAGGAACUUGGUGACAGGUGCUGCAUGGCUGUCGUCAGCUCGUGUCGUGAGAUGUUGGGUUAAGUCCCGCAACGAGCGCAACCCUUGUCUUUAGUUGCCAUCAUUAAGUUGGGCACUCUAAAGAGACUGCCGGUGUCAAACCGGAGGAAGGUGGGGAUGACGUCAAGUCCUCAUGGCCUUUAUGACCAGGACUACACACGUACUACAAUGGCAGGUACAAAGGGCAGCCACUUAGCGAUAAGGAGCGAAUCCCGUAAAACCUGUCUCAGUCCGGAUUGGAGUCUGCAACUCGACUCCAUGAAGUUGGAAUCGCUAGUAAUCGCAGAUCAGCACGCUGCGGUGAAUACGUUCCCGGGCCUU